UUAAUUGGAAGAUGCUAUGAGGAGGAAGAAAGGAGGUGCUCGGCAGCGAGAAAAUGGAAGGAAAGUGAGGGAAUUAAAGGGUUUUUGAAGUUAUUUGGUGUUUAAAAUUUUCAGAACGUUUUACUUCGCAGCGGGAGUGCGAGAGAAACUAGGAUCGGCUAUUUACAGG